ACUUCCGACCUGUCUUUGAGUUCACCUGGCAUCCUGAUGCGCUCCAGAUCUUGCUUGUCGGAUUUUAUUUCGCCGGUUUGCUUCUCCGCCUGUGUAUCUAGCCUGGAAAAGUGCAUGUUAUCUUUUUGCAAACUUCUUUAGCCUUCUUUUCGGCAGCCACUUCCCUCUGCUCCUUCUGUAGCUUGGACUCAUCACUGGUCAAAUUCACCUGGCCUCUUGGAGAAAUCAUGAUUGUUACUAUGAUUUUUCUUAUUUAUCUACCUAGUGGAGUGCUAAGAGUGCAGGCAGUGAGGUUGUGCUAUCUGGUUUCAAGUGCUGCCUCUCACUUCUAACAGUGUUACCUGGGCAUGAUACUUAACCUCUCUGUGCCCACUUCAAGUGUGAAACAUAAUACUAGUACCUAGAAAAUAGGACGAUUGUAUUACUUGAGAUAAUACGUGGAAAGCACUGGCAUAUUGAAAGCAUUCGAUGAGUGUUAACCAUUACUUUUUGCACUACUAUGCACUCUUAUUCCCUGUUGGAACAUACCUGUGCUUAAGGACAACUGGAACCAGAUUUCCUGCUACCCUUUAUGUCCCCCCUACUUUUUUUUAUGUUUAUGGAUACUCGGCUUUUAAUUAAUUGAUGAUGCCUGGCACCCUCUUCGGAACUGUGAGCCCCUCCAGACAAAGUUGGAAUCUUAUAUAGAAAACAACUUUAACCCUGCUGGAAAUAACCUGCUUAGUUAUUGUGCUAGUUAAUGGGGGAAAGUUGAAUAAAACCCAGGCCCUACCCUCAAGAACGUGGAGAUACUCAAUAAAUGAUAGUGGGAGGAAGGAAGUCAACCCAGGAAAAAGCAGAAGGGACCAGCUGAGCUGAAGAUUUAUCUUUGCCCAAAAAUUUCGCAGAAUGACAGAACUGAAAGGAACUUUUAGAGGCAAUCACUUAGUCAACCUCUUGCUGUUACAGAAAACUUGUCACAGAUUGAGUAUUCCAGAUUGGAGAUGAGAAGAUUUUUGUUAGGAAUGGAGUGGAAGCAGGAUUGUUCAGAGGAAGUAGUUGAACUGCUAUUCAGGUCCAGCAAAUCCUCAGCCAUCCUGGGAGGGAGCUUUAGAGUAAGUAUUGCCCAUCAAGAGUAUCGUUGUCAGGCUAAAAUAGCCAGCCCCUUAUGCUAGAUGCUGUCUGCCCUAGAAAGGGUGUAAUCUCAAGCAAGGUGGCCUUCUGCAGCAGAAGCAGACCCUGAAGAAAAUAGCUGGGGGCUGCCUGCUAACCGCAUUCCCUGCACCUGGGCAGCAAGUGCUUCCUUGAAAGGGAAUCUGGGCAGCGUAUCUUUGCAUCUUCCACAAAAUGCAACACAAAUUGGCUUAAACAAUAAGGGCAUAUCUUGACUUCUAUAACUGGAGUAUUAUGACAGGCAUCAGGGUUGGUUGCCUCAGCAACUCGACGAUAUCAUCCAGGACCCAUAUUUGUUUCUGUCUUGCUCUGCCUUCAGUAGCAUCUGCUUCCACUUACGGCCAGCUUUCCUUGAGAUGGCAAAAUCGCUCUAGCAGCUUGUGUUCAUAUCUACACACUGUACACACCCUGAGGGGAUGGACACACGUUCAGUGCAGGCAUACCUCAUUGUAUUGUGCACCACUUUCUUGUGCUGCUCAGAUAUUGCAUUUUUAACAAAUUGAAGGUUUAUAGCAAUUUUGUGUAGAGUAAGUCUGUCAGUGCCAUUUUUCUAACAGCAUAUCUCUGUCACGUUUUGAUAAUUCUUGCAGUAUUUCAAACUUUUCAUUAUUAUUAUGUCUGUUACAGUGAUCUGUGAUCAGUGAUCUUUAGUGUUACUAUUGUAAUUGUUUUGGGUCACCAUCAACCAUGCCAUUAAGACAGCAAAUUUAAUUGAUAAAUAUUGUGUAUAUUUUAUUUCAUCAAUGGGACUUUCCCCCAUCUCUGUCCCUCUCCUAGGGCCUCCCUAUUCUGAAACAAAACAAUAUUGAAAUUAGACAAAUUAAUAAUCCUACAAUGGCCUCUAAGUGUUGAAGUGAAGAGUCACAUGUCUCUCACUUUAAACCAAAAGCUAGAAAUGGUAAAGCUUAGUGAGGAAGACAUAUAGAUAGCCAAGAUGGGCCAAAAAUUAGGCCUCUUGUGCCAUAUAGUUAGUCAAGUUGUAAAUGUGAAGGAAAUUAAAAGUGCUACUUAAGUGAACACACGAAUGAUAAGAAAGCAAAACAGCUUUAUUGAUGAUAUAGAGAAAGUUCUAUUGAUCUGGAUAGAAGAUCAAACCAGCCACAACAUUCCCUUAAGCCAAAGCAUAAUCCAGAGCAAGGCCCUAACUCUCUUCAAUUCUGUGAAGGCUAAGAGAGGUGAAGAAGCUUCAGAAGAAAAGUUGGAAGCCAGCAGAAGUUAAUUCAUGAGGUUUAAGGAAAGAAGCCUUCUCUAUAACAUAAAAGUGCAAGGUCAAGCAGCAAGUACUGAUGAAGAAGCUGUAGCAAGUUAUCCAGAAGAUCCAGCUAAGAUUAUUGAUGAAGGUGGCCACAUUAAACAACAACAGAUUUUCAAUAAAACAGCCUCCUAUUUUAAGAAGAUGCCAUUUAGGACUUUCAUAGCUAAAGAGGAGAAGUCAGUGUCUGGCUUCAAAGCUCCAAAGGACCUGCUGAUUCUCGUUAGGGUCUAAUGCAACUGGUAACUUUAACUUGAAGCCAGUGCUUAUUUGCCAUUCUGAAAAUCCUAGGGUCCUUAAGAAUUACGUUAAAUCUACUCUGCCUGUGCUUUAUAAGUGGAACAAAAAAGCCUGGAUGAUAGCACAUCUGUUUACAGCAUGAUUUACUGAAUAUCUUAAGCCCACUGGUGAGAUCUGCUGCUUUAAAAAAUAAAAUUCCGGGCGGGCGCGGUGGCUCACGCCUGUAAUCCCAGCACUUUGGGAGGCCAAGGCGGGUGGAUCACGAGGUCAGGAGAUCGAGACCAUCCUGGCUAACACGGUGAAACCCGUCUCUACUAAAAAUACAAAAAAAAUUAGCCAGGUGUGGUAGCGGGCACCUGUGGUCCCAGCUACUCGGGAGGCUGAGUCAGGAGAAUGGUGUGAAUCCGGGAGGCGGAGCUGGCAGUGAGCCGAGACUGCGCCACUGCACUCCAGCCUGGGUGACAGAGCGAAACUCGGUCUCAAAAAAAAAAAAAAAAAUUCCUUCAAAAUAUGGCAGCUCAUUGACAAUGCAUCUGUUAUCCAAAAGCUCUGAUGGAGGUAUACAAGGAGAUGAAUGUUAUUUUCAUGCCUGCUAACACAGCUUCCAUUCUGCAGCCCAUGGAUCAAGGAGCAAUUUCAAAUCUCAAGUCUCAUUAUUUAAGAAAUACAUUUCAGCCAGGUAUGGUGGUUCAUGCCUGUAAUCCCAGCACUUUGGGAGACCGAGGUGGGCAGAUCACCUGAGGUCAGGAAUUCAAGACCAGCCUGGCCAACAUGGUGAAACCCCAUCUCUACUAAAAAUACAAAAAUUAGCUGGGCAUGGUGGCGCAUGCCUGUAAUCCCAGCUACUCGGGAGGCUGAGGCAGAAGAAUUGCUUGAACCCAGGAGGUGCAGGUUGCAGUGAGCCGAGAUCGUGCCAUUGCACUCCAGCCUGGGCAACACAGCGAGACUCUGUCAAAAAAAAAAAGAAGUAGAAAUACAUGUCAUAAGCUAUAGCUGUCAAUAGAUAGUGAUUCCUCUGAUGGAUCUGGGCAAAGUAAAUUGAAAACUUUCUGGAAAGGAUUUACCAUUCUAGAUGCCAUUAAGAACAUUUGUGACUAAUGAGAAUAUUUGACAAAUUUGAAGAGUAUUCUGAACAAACAACAUAGCAACUAGAAAUACCUUACCAUAUGAGAAAUGAUAGUCCCUGAGAAAGCCCCUAAGAGGAACAGCUUAGGGCAGACUUGUUAGUAUCUUUAAAUAUUUGAUGAAAGACCAUUCUAUUAAAGAUAAAUUUAAUGUAUAAUGCUUGAGUAGGUAAAAAUAUCAACAUUAAUAAGAGUUUGGAAGUUUGGAAGAAGUUGAUUCCAACCCACAUGGAUAACUUGAGGGGUUCAAGACUUCAGUGUAGGAAGAAAGUGCAAAUGUGGUAGAAAUAGGAAGAGAACUAGAAUUAAAAGUGGAGCCUUAAGAUGGGACUGAAUUGUUGCAAUCUCAUGAUAAAAUGUGAGGGAAUGAGGAGUUGCUUCUUAUGAAUGAGCAACGAAAGUGGUUUCUUGAGAUGAAAUCUACUUCUGGUGAAGAUGUGAACACUGUUGAAAUGACAACAAAUGAUUUGGAAUAUUACAUAAACUUAGUUGACAAGGCAGCGGCAGGGUUCGGGAGGAUUGACUCCAAUUUUGAAAGAAAUUCUCCUGUGGAUAAAAUGCUACCAAACAGCAUUGCCUGAUACAGAGGAGUGUUUCAUGAAAGGAAGAAUCCAUUGAUGUGGCAAACUUUAUUGUUGUCUUAAGAAAUUGCUCCCUUUUCUCAUCUGUCGCCAAGGUGCUCUGUCAUGAAGAAAUUAAAGCUGCAUUGGGGUGAGGCCCACUUCACUCAGUGACUAACACCGCGCCUGGCAGAGACAGCCCUGCAUUACCCACACCACGGCCUCUGUCUUCAUCUCCAAGCUCCACUCCAUCUACUUGACCCUCACCCUGCAUGCUGAUGAGGUGACCAUCACAGAGAAGAUCAAUGCCCUCAUUAAAGCACCUGCUGUAACUGUUGAACCUUUUUGGCCUGGCUUGUUUGCAAAGGCCCUGGCCAGUGUCAACAUCAGAAGCCUCAUCCCCCAUGUAGGGGCGGCAUACCUGCUCCACAAUGGCUGAAUCCCCAGGCUUAAAAUCAAGGCACUUUGUUAGGGAAACCUGGAAAGAAAUAACAACUGCUGGAACAUUUGAGUUAUAUCAACCUGUUUUGCCUUGAACUCAACAAUGCAUCAUAUAUUAGGUGUAUUCUAUUUGCUACUCAAAGCAGAUGGAAACGUAAUAUUAGAGAAAAGGCAACUCAAUUUGAUUCCUCUUAAAGGUACAUAACACUAAUAAUGGCUAACAAUAUGAAUAUUUUUAUUGAGUGCUUUCCAUAAGCCAGACAAAUUCUAAAUAUGUAUUCUCACAAAAGGGAGAAGACCAUGCUUGGUAAUAAAGAAAGAUAUAUCUAAGAACAAAUACUUUAGUAAUUUUUUAAAAACUGACAAGUGUUGGCAAGGUUAUGGAGACAUUGGAAACCUCAUGCAUUGCUAGUGUGAAUGUCAAAUGGCAUAGCCACUUUAGAAAGCAGUUUGGGGCUGGGCAUGGUGCCUCAUGCCUAUAAUCCCAGCACUUGGGGAGGCUGAGGUGGGCGGAUUACUUGAGGCCAGGAGUUCAAGACCAGCCUAGCUAACAUGAUCAAACCCUGUCUCUACUAAAAAUACAAAAAAAAAAAAUACAAAAAUUAGCCAGGCAUGGAGGCAUGCACCUAUAAUCCCAGGUACUUGGGAGGCUGAUGCAGGAAAAUCACGUGAACCUGAGAGACGGAGCUUGCAGUGACCCAAGAUCGCACCACCACACUCCAGCCUGGACAACAGAGCGAGACUCCAUCUCAAAAAAAAAAAAAAAAAAAAAAAUGAAGAAAGCAAGAAAGCAGUUUGGUAAUUCCUCAGUAAGUUAAGCAGAGUUACCAUAUGACCUAGCAAUUCGACUCCUAGAUAUAUACUCAAGAGAAUUUAUGCAAAAAUUUGUAUAUGAAAUGAAUAGUUCAUGAAAAAUUUCAUAUACAUAUUCAUAUACUAGUAGCCAAAAAGUAGAAAUAACCCAGAUAUCUAUCAACUUGUGAAUGAAUAAACAAAAUACAGUUUAUUUUUGCAAUGAAAUAUUCGGCCAUAAAAAGAAACGAAGUAUUGAUACAUGCUACAACAUGGAUGAAACUUGAAAACAUUAUUCUAAGAGAAAGAAGCCAGACACCAAAGGCCACAUGUCAUGUGAUUCCCUGUAUUUGAAAAAUCUAGAAAAGGCAAACCCAUAGAAACAGGUUAGUGUGUCUAUUAGAGUAGAUUGGUGGUUGCCAAGAAUAGAGAGAAAGAGGAAUGGUAAGGGACUGUUAAUGGAUAAAGGAUUUCUUUUUGAAGUCAUUAAAAUGUUCUGAAAUUAGAGAGUGGUGAUGGUCGCACGACCUUGUGAAUAUACUAAAAACCACUCAGUUUUAUACUUUAAAAGAGUGAAUUGUUUGCCACCAGCCUGGGCAACAUGGCAAAACCCUGUCUCUACAAAAAAAAUACACAAUUUAGCCAGAUGUGGUGGCACACACCUGUAGUCCCAGCUGCUCAGGAGGCUGAGGUGGGAGGAUCACUUGAGCCGAGAAGGUUGAGGCUGCAGUGAGCCGUGUGCAUCACUGUACUCGAGCCUAGAAGACCCUGUCUCAAAAAUAAAAUAAAAGGGUGAAUUGUAUGGUAUAUGAGUUAUACCUCAAUAAAAAAUUAAUUAUCCCUUUUAAGAAAAAAAAAAAAACAACACACCAGGUGCGUUGGCUCAUGCCUGUAAUCCCAGCAUUUUGGGAGGCCAAGGUGGGCAGAUCACUUGAGGUCAGGGGUUUGAGACCAGCCUGGCCAACAUGGUAAAAUCCCGCCUCUACUAAAAAUACAAAAAUUAGCCAGGCAUGGUGGUGCAUGCCUGUAAUCCCAGCUACUCAGGAGGCUGAGGCAUGAGAAUUGCUUGAACCUGGGAAGCAGUGGUUGCAGUGAGCCAAGAUCAUGCCACUGCACUCCAGCCUGGGCAACAGAGCGAGACUCUGUCUCAAAAACAAACAAACAAACAAAAAAACACUUUCCUGGAAGUUUGAAAGGGGGGAAAAACCCUGUCUUUAUAGUUUUAAAAGAGAGAGCAAACAUGAGUUAAGGAAACACGAAUAUGGCCCAAUUGAUGAGAGGUACAGAAUACAGGGAAUGGAUGCUCGGCGAAGGAUAUGAACAGACACUUCUCAAAGGAAGACAUUUAUGCAGCCAAAAGACACAUGAAAAAAUGUUCAUUAUCACUGGCCAUCAGAGAAAUGGAAAUCAAAACCACAGUGAGAUACCAUCUCACACCAGUUAGAAUGGUGAUCAUUAAGAAGUCAGGAAACAACAGGUGCUGGAGAGGAUUUGGAGAAAUAGGAACACUUUUACACUGUUAGUGGGACUGUAAACUAGUUCAACCAUUGUGGAAGUCAGUGUGGCGAUUCCUCAGGGAUCUAGAUCUAGAAAUACCAUUUGACCCAGCCAUCCCAUUACUGGGUAUAUAACCAAAGGAUUAUAAAACAUGCUGCUAUAAAGACACAUGCACACGUAUGUUUAUUGAGGCACUAUUCACAUUAGCAAAGACUUGGAACCAACCCAAAUGUCCAACAAUGAUAGACUGGAUUAAGAAAAUGUGGCACAUAUACACCAUGGAAUACUAUGCAGCCAUAAAAAAUUAUGAGUUCAUGUCCUUUGUAGGGACAUGGAUGAAGCUGGAAACCAUCAUUCUCAGCAAACUAUCGCAAGGACAAAAAACCAAACACCGCAUGUUCUCACUCAUAGGUGGGAAUUGAACAAUGAGAACACAUGGACACAGGAAGGGGAACAUGACACACUGGGGCCUGUUGUGGGGUGGGGGAGCGGGGAGGGAUCGCAUUAGGAGAUCUACCUAAUGUUAAAUGACGAGUUAAUGGGUGCAGCACACCAGCAUGGCACAUGUAUACAUAUGUAACAAACCUGCACGUAGUGCACAUGUACCCUAAAACUUAAAGUAUAAUAAAAAAUUUUUUAAAAAAAGA